rnacentral:rRNA from 1 species
AGAGUUUGAUCCUGGCUCAGAGCGAACGCUGGCGGCAGGCCUAACACAUGCAAGUCGAACGGGCCCCUUCGGGGGUCAGUGGCAGACGGGUGAGUAACACGUGGGAACGUACCCUUCAGUUCGGAACAACCCAGGGAAACUUGGGCUAAUACCGGAUAAGCCCUUACGGGGAAAGAUUUAUCGCCGAAAGAUCGGCCCGCGUCUGAUUAGCUAGUUGGUGAGGUAAUGGCUCACCAAGGCGACGAUCAGUAUCCGGCCUGAGAGGGCGGACGGACACACUGGGACUGAGACACGGCCCAGACUCCUACGGGAGGCAGCAGUGGGGAAUUGUUCGCAAUGGGCGCAAGCCUGACGACGCAACGCCGCGUGGAGGAUGAAGAUCUUCGGGUCGUAAACUCCUGUCGAGCGGGACGAACACCUAUCCAGCUAACAUCUGGACUGGCUGACGGUACCGCUAAAGGAAGCCCCGGCUAACUCCGUGCCAGCAGCGGCGGUAAUAC